AACGAACGCUGGCGGCAUGCCUAACACAUGCAAGUCGAACGAGCCCUUCGGGUCUAGUGGCGCACGGGUGUGUAACGCGUGGGAACCUGCCCUUAGGUUCGGACUAACUCCCCGACAGGGGUGCUAAUACCGGAUCAUGUCUUCGGACCAAAGAUUUAUCGCCUCUGGAUGGGCCCGCGUUGGAUUAGCUAGUUGGUAGGGUAAAAGCCUACCAAGGCGACGAUCCAUAGAUGGUCUGAGAGGGUGAUCAGCAACACUGGAACUGAGACACGGCCCAGACUGCGGCGGGAGGCAGCAGUAGGGAAUCCUCAGCAAUGGGAAAAAGCUUGAUGGUGCAACGCCGCGUGAGUGAUGAUGGUAUUCGGAGCGUAAAACAGGGUUAUUAGGGAAGAACAAGUGUGGAAGUAACUCUGCACGUCUUGACGGUACCUAAUCAGAAAGCUACGGCUAACUACGUG
rnacentral:rRNA from 1 species